rnacentral:rRNA from 1 species
UACCAGCAUUCCGAGUGUUCGUCACGUUUAUUGGGCCUAAAGCAUCCGUAGCCGGUUUUACAAGUCUUCCGUUAAAUCCAGCUGCUUAACAGAUGGGCUGCGGAAGAUACUAUGGAGCUAGGAGGCGGGAGAGGCAAGCGGUACUCGAUGGGUAGGGGUAAAAUGCGUUGAUCCAUUGAAGACCACCAGUGGCGAAGGCGGCUUGCCAGAACGCGCUCGACGGUGAGGGAUGAAAGCUGGGGGAGCAAACCGG